rnacentral:rRNA from 1 species
UGAAGCUGGAAUUGCUAGUAAUGGCAGGUCAGCAUACUGCCGUGAAUACGUUCCCGGGCCUUGUACACACCGCCCGUCACACCAUGGGAGUCGGUAACACCCGAAGCCAAUAGUCUAACCGCCAAGGAGGACGUUGUCGAAGGUGGGAUUGAUGACUGGGGUGAAGUCGUAACAAGGUAAC